rnacentral:misc_RNA from 1 species
GAUGAAGAACGUAGCGAAAUGCGAUACGUAAUGUGAAUUGCAGAACUCAGUGAAUCAUCGAAUCUUUGAACGCAUAUUGCGCUCUUUGGUAUUCCGAAGAGCAUGCUUGUUUGAGUAUCAGUAAACACCUCAAAGCUUUUGGAUUUUUUAAUCGAAAAGCUUUGGACUUGAGCAAUCCCAACACCAAUCUUUUUGAGAUCGGUGGCGGGUUGCUUGAAAUGCAGGUGCAGCUGGACAUUCUCCUGAGCUAAAAGCAUAUUCAUUUAGUCCCGUCAAACGGAUUAUUACUUUUGCUGCAGCUAACAUAAAGGGAGUUUGACCGUAUUGGCUGACUGAUGCAGGAUUUCACAAGGGUCGGCAACGAUUCUUGUUAAACUCGAUCUCAAAUCAAGUAAGACUACCCGCUGAACUUAAGCAUAUCAAUAAGCGGAGGA